GGAGGAGGCAGCAGAGACUCUGUUCUCCUUGUUUGGAUUAAUUCUGAUAUAAUAACUGUUGGUUUAUUUAUCGGUGCAGCAGCAGAACAUUUUCCACAGACAGUUUUCCUGCCCGUUGGCUUGUUUUAACCAGUUUUCUGCCUUCGGCUGAUUCUACCAGCAGACACUGAAAGGACUCUGAUAGUUCGAGUGAAAGUAGCAGUUCCUCCUUAAGGUCAGAGAUUGCAGCAUCUGAGGGCCUCUUGAAAGGAAACCGUAGUUGAUGAAGGCGUUCUGGAGCAGGACCAGAAAGACCACGACCAAGCAGCCUUGAGAUCUUAGGCAGCGUCUCCCUCAGGUCCCUCUCUAUCUCCCCACAGAUCCACCAACCACUGGAACACAUCUCCAAAGUUCUGCCGGGCCAGCUCAGCUUCCCCUCAGAAGAAGUGCUGCCACCUGCCAGAUGAAGGAGCCUUUUGAGAGGCAGCUGGCAUCGUGAUUGGACUGUACUUUGGUCUGUUCCAAUCCAGCUUCAGCUCCAGAGACGGCAGGCGGGACGAGUCAACGGAGGCCGGGUGGACGAAGGCAUGCAGCUGAGUACAAUCCAGAAAACAACAGAGGAGGAGUGCAGCGGCCCAGGGCCAGAACAAAGAGAGUAGUCAAAGUCAAAGUCAGCUUUAUCGUCAAUUCUUCAAUAUGUACAUGACAUACCAAGAAUCGAAAUUACGUUAUGUUACGAGUGGCAUAGUAUGUCUCUUAGAAAACAUCAUAGUAUAGCCUUUGGAAUGAAAAAAACGCCAUAAUAUACAUCGUAUAUUAUACAAAUAAC
ensembl:lncRNA